rnacentral:rRNA from 1 species
UACGUAGGGUGCGAGCGUUGUCCGGAAUUACUGGGCGUAAAGAGCUCGUAGGUGGUUUGUCGCGUUGUCCGUGAAAACUCACAACUCAAUUGUGGGCGUGCGGGCGAUACGGGCAGACUGGAGUACUGCAGGGGAGACUGGAAUUCCUGGUGUAGCGGUGGAAUGCGCAGAUAUCAGGAGGAACACCGGUGGCGAAGGCGGGUCUCUGGGCCGACAUUGACGCUGAGGAGCGAAAGCGUGGGGAGCGAACAGG